rnacentral:rRNA from 1 species
UGGGGAAUAUUGGACAAUGGGCGAAAGCCUGAUCCAGCCAUGCCGCGUGUGUGAAGAAGGUCUUCGGAUUGUAAAGCACUUUAAGUUGGGAGGAAGGGCAGUAAGCGAAUACCUUGCUGUUUUGACGUUACCGACAGAAUAAGCACCGGCUAACUCUGUGCCAGCAGCCGCGGUAAUACAGAGGGUGCAAGCGUUAAUCGGAAUUACUGGGCGUAAAGCGCGCGUAGGUGGUUCGUUAAGUUGAAUGUGAAAGCCCCGGGCUCAACCUGGGAACUGCAUCCAAAACUGGCGAGCUAGAGUAGGGCAGAGGGUGGUGGAAUUUCCUGUGUAGCGGUGAAAUGCGUAGAUAUAGGAAGGAACACCAGUGGCGAAGGCGACCACCUGGGCUCAUACUGACACUGAUGUGCGAAAGCGUGGGGAGCAAACAGG